GUUUCACUCCGGUCACGCAGGCAUUUGCCCCAGCUGCAGGCACUCUGGUUGUUAUGAAGGUUUCUGGCCCUGUCCAUGUUCAAGCAGAGGAAGGAGAAGGUAAACCAUGGCAUAGAAACUGGAUUUGUAAAGAUGUGCUUUCUGAUUCUGCAACAGCAAUUCGGGGAGCCAGCAUCAAAGAAACGCAUGGAGAAGUAGCAGUCUAACUCUACAAGGAAUUUCCGGGACGGAAAAGGGUCAAUCUGAGGAAAGCAGCCAUGUAAAAGCAGUACCCUGAGAAGGUCACAGAGGUCUUCCUGCGCUUGGAGUUGGACUGCUGUCCUGGCUGCUAGCCAGACUUUGCGACCAUUGGUUUCAGGCAUUCUAAGAAUACUGAUAUGAAAAUGUCCUUCUCUACAAAAGCAGAUACUAAACUGAAAGAACAAGUUUGGGUAGCAAGGUAUUUGCAUGGAAACAUCUAUUCACAUAGGGUGUCUCUUACAGGUGUAAGUCAUCAUCUCUGGGAAAUGAUUUUCAUUCACAUUUGGAAGUACAGUGGCAUAACAGUGGCCUGAUUAAUGAUUCAUAACAAGAGAAGAAAAGAUAACUUAUUUGCAGACUUCUAAGUAAAGAGGCUUCAUUUGCUAAAAGUUUUCUGAUUUAUGUAGCACAUAAAAAUCAAUUAUGCAAGCCAGGGAAGAAUAAUCCUGAAAUUCAGCUGAUGUCUCUUUUUGGAGAUUAUUUCUCUGCAUUAAAAACCUAAACUAGAUCAUGUAGUUUUUCAGCCAAAGGAAGGCAGGAGAGGAAGCUCUAUCACAUUUCACUCUGCACUGGGUUUCAUCCUGACACACGGCCACAGGCCCUCUCUAAGAGAGAGCUUCCUGCUCUUCCAAGAGCUGCAGAAGAUGCCUCCCCCACAGAGGGAUCCCUCACAACCAGUUGUGCAAUCCAGUUCUGCAGCCCUUGUUAUUUGUGUUUAGACAAGAGAAUCCACACUGAAACCGCGCUUGGGCCCUUGUAUCUCAUGUAAAGCUGUCAGCAAUUUCCAUAGUCAUAUUACUCCUCAAAAUCACAAGCAAUCUUAACAGGCAGCUGCAGAAAGAGUAUGUUGAAAGAGUACGUUAUUUUUCCUGCUUCAGAUUUUAAUGCUAAAUUAUAAGCGGGAUUUCACAUACUACUCUUAGAAGUCAUUUAUAAUAACGUUAUUGAUUAAAACACUUUUAUUAAGAAAGCUUCUGUGAGAGUAGGCUUACAGGAAAUAAAGAACAUCAGUGUCUCGGUUACUGCAUGUUUUGUUAGGAAAGAGCCCUUGACACUAAUCAAAUACUGAGAAAAAUCAACACAGCACACAUAGCACCAUCCCCCUUAGUACUCAGUUAAAGACACACUGUUAAUACAGAUAGAUGAACAGAUCACACGGUAAAGACUGUGCCUAAAGUUUUCUGGAAACUUUCUGAAAACUAUCAGCACUCAGGAUGGAAAAAAUCUGUACUUCCCUCCUAAAAGUUAAGAAACCAUUACUAAAUGCUGCAGCGUUACACUGUAGCAUUGUACAAGAUAAUGGCAAUCAAUGGCUAAUGGCAAUCAAACUAUUUCUUAAAGCACAAAAAUUCCUAAGGAUGAAACGUUGUCAAGCCUUGGGAGGUAGUACACAAAACCACACACCUACAGCACUUCUCUCUGUAAGUCAGCCACACACAUGUGCCAGUGUGUGAUUCCAGCAGUGUAAUGUCACCAUGACACUUCAACUCCUCCAACCACAGGCCCACUUGCAUGCAUUCUCUCUGCGAAUAUUUUGCAAUUAUUAGCAGUAUUUGGAAAAAAAUCAUAGCACCAACUUGAAGACUUGAUAUGCAAACAAGGAAAAUGAAGAAAACUUUACGAGAAAUAUCGUAUCAUACUUCUAUAGAUUAAUGUUGCAAGACACCCUCAUCUGAUGCAGAUUGGCAUAGUUUGUCUUCAAAGAAGCCACAUGUACUUUCACUACCUCAGCAUCUGGCUCUGCAAUUGAAUAUAGUAUUUUUUUUAGCAUAGCUGUGUAUACCACUAUAGAUUUGAAACUCAGAAAUGGUGGAAAAAUUAUAAAACACCCUUGAUUUUCUAAACGCCCAAAGAAAUUAUCACAGAAGGGACAGAGGAAUUACAGGGCUGAGCUGUAGCUGAUUCCUGCGAUUGCUUUGAAGUACAGUAGUAGCCUAUGACUUCACUUGCCUUUUGUUGAUACAAACAUGUUAUGCAUUAAAGCAAAACUUACUUGGACACUUGAGAUAUUUCUAUUAGCCUAAGAUAUACUAAGUAUUAGACUAAAUCUCUUCAACCACAGCUGAACACUAAUUUCUCACAUUAUAUAUCCUUAUUGGUAUUUAAUAGGUCAUUAGAGAAUGUUCUUCGAAUUUUCAUUUGUCAAAUACAAAAAAUGCCAAUACUUACUCAAAAUACAGAGUGAGGUCUGUUGCCAAUAUCGAUUGCUUUAGAAGCUGCAUAAGGUCACUGUAGUCCUUAGAGGACAAGUUAGCAAAGAUGUUGUGACCCUAUAAUGAAAGAGAUAAAGGAGGUAAAGGGCUAGCAAUCAAUACAGGUUUUUAAAAGGUUUUCUAACUCUUUAGUCUAUGAUUUCACUGUAGCAGAGGCUUUUUCUGAUUCAUGGCAAAACCAUGACAAAAUAAUAAUGUUAAUACUACUGAGAUUACAUUGGGGUGGAAGAGUUGACCAUUGUAAUCAAACACCUGGGAUGUUUUUCUAAACUCUACUGAAAUUAUGGCCUCUAGAGAAAAGAUUUACUCUUUGAUCUGACUCUGCACAGAUUCAGUUUAUGGAGAAAAACUAUGGAUACAUCUCAAUCUUUCCUCUUAUUAAAUGUUUUUGGGAGCUGUGCAUUGCAGCUUUUGAGUUGUGCUCCUAAUAGAUUUAUCUGUGCUGCUGCUUGCAGGCACACAAACUGCUUGUAGAGCAGUCAAAGACACUAAAUCAGUUUUUCAUUCAAAACAGUAUCUUUGCUCAGUCUGACUAUUAUGAGGUUGUCUUACAGGGUAUACAAGCCUUCACGACACAGCCUGAAGAACAGCAAUCGUAUGCAGUUUGAAGGCCCUUUGUAGGCCCAGUACGUGACUUCUUAAAGAACCG